ensembl:lncRNA
UGCAAAUGUUUCAACCUGAACAACUUAAAACUUCUCUGGGAUACAAUGUAAACAAAGACAAGAAGAAGAAAAAUAUUUCCAUCAAUAGUCACUUUUCCUAACCAGGAGACAAGUGAAUAUAUUAUGUAAAGAGUCCUUUUUCUCAGUCCUGGGGUUGUAACACCACAACCUCCUCAGUCCGUAAUCAAAGAGUGUCUAUUUGACAAUAACCAAAAUGUCUUUGGAUAGUCUUUGUGAAUGAAAACAAAACAAAAACAAACAAAUGGUAUUAGCUGGCCAGCAAAAUAAAGAGAGUGUAUGGCACUGACUGGCCAGCAAAAUAAAGAGAGUGUAUGGCACUGAGUGCGGGCGUGUGUGUGAGUACUUCGGUCCAAAUAAUCAAGGUCCGGAUGGAUGAAGGGAUGGCGGCCGCUUGUCCUUUAAUGGCACCAGUAAGGCAGCACAGUAGUAAGGCAGCACAGCAGCGAGGCAGCACAGCAGUAAGGCAGCACAGCAGCGAAGCGUCUGGCAGGAGAACGAACAAUAGUCCUUUUCAAGGCUACUGCAGAAGGCGAUAUUCCCCGCUAGCUCACCCCAGCUUGCUCUCUGGCACAGCUACAAGCCACGUGAGCUCAUAGCCCCUCCCGCUAGGAUGUACUACCACAGUCGACUGUCGUAAAGCAGCCGCAAACCAAUAGCAAUAAAAAAAAACCUCAAAAUCAUUGAAGAACAUUUUAUAACACCCAAUAUAGGUAUAUACAUAUAUACUGAAUAUCACACAAUAUCAGAUAACCAAAUUAACACUGGGUUAC